ACGUGAAACAAUUACACUUAGCUACACUCAGCUAAUUUACAGGUAAUGCCACGAAUUUCUGACUAUUAUACAGGGUAUAUAAAAUAUAAAAUUAGUUUGUCUUAUUCAAAAGAACUCUUAAAAUUAUAUAUUAAACUACAUUACCAAUUUGUCGUAUCUUGCUUAGUUUUCGAAAUAUUUAGAGCGAAAUUAAUGAGCUGUGCGCCAUCUUGGACUAAUUCAGUAAUUCUUGACCUCAUUAACUAUGGUUUCGAUGACGUCAGGAGUUGGGUUAACCAUAUAAAACUACUCUAAAAUGA